rnacentral:misc_RNA from 1 species
GCCAUUAAAUGAGAAUAGUUAUUUACAUAAUGCAAUAUAAUGAUAUGCUCUAGAGCAAACUACUAACAAUCUCUCACUUGCACUAGAGCCAUUCAUUAUAAAAUCUAAGACCCAUCUUCUCAAGAUGUCUGUCUAGGUGAUUUUGUGUCAUGACUUUGGUGAAAGGAUCAGCCGGAUUAUCAACUGAAGCAAUUUUCUGCAUAGCGACAUCGCCUCUCCCAACUAUUUCUCUGAUAACAUGGUAUCGUCUUUCUAUAUGUUUGGAUUUCUAGUGAGAUCAGGGUUCCUUUGCUUAUAUGACCGCACCAUUGUUAUCAUAAUGUAAUGGAAUUGAUGAUAUAAUUAAUGGAAGCACUCCAAGUUCUGUUACGAACUUUUUUAUCCAAACAGCUUCUUUUGCAGCAUCCAAUGCAACAAUAUAUUCAGCCUCUGUAGUUGAGUCAGUAGUCGUAUUCUAU